AGGUCUGUAGCUCAGUGGCAGAACAUCUGCUUUGCACACAGAAGGUUCCAGGUUCAAUCUCUAGGUAGGGCUG